rnacentral:misc_RNA from 1 species
GCCAGAAUAAGUUAAUUAUUAGAAAUUGGCUCAUAGUUUUUGAGUAUUGAUACAUCUUAGCAAGCAAACCAAAACCAUGGGCUUGGGCUACCAACUCAAUGGUCGAGUGCUUACCUCGUAAUGCAGAAGAAGUUCAAGCUCAAACUACUCUAAUAGCCUCAACCCGUCUAAAAAUUUUCUAAGUACCAAAAAAAUAAAAGAGCAAGCAAACCAAAGCAGUACAAUUGAAUUCAGAUAAAGAAUGGUGAAAUUAAGCUGUCAAAUCACAUCAAAGAAUAUGAAAGAUGCAUUUGCAGCUAAAAACAAAGGGAAAUCAGAAACUACACGUUUCUGGAACACUCUCUAUUUCAUUAUACUCCAACGUACUUGCUUCAGUGUGUGGAAACUUCGAUCUUUGCGCUGUUUUUGUUGCCUGAUACCCUCCAAACUCUACAUAUAACAGACUGGACUGAACAAGCUUUGCAUGGGUGACUUUCAUCUAAUUCAUCACAAAGAUACUUGCGAUAUAAAAAUAGUAAUCUAGAAAGUUCUUGAGUAUUUCCUGAUCUCAUACAUGAUUGAUGAAAUGGACACAAGGUCCUUGUUCAGUACAGACCCACCAACAAUCC